rnacentral:tRNA from 1 species
GCCUUCGUGGUGUAACGGCAGCACACUUGACUAAUAUUCGAGAUUCCAGAAUGUUCCAGGAUCGAGUCCCGGUGAGGACG